UACGAAGGGGGCUAGCGUUGUUCGGAAUUACUGGGCGUAAAGCGCACGUAGGCGGAUCUUUAAGUCAGAGGUGAAAUCCCAAGGCUCAACCUUGGAACUGCCUUUGAUACUGGGGAUCUUGAGUCCGGAAGAGGUGAGUGGAACUGCGAGUGUAGAGGUGAAAUUCGUAGAUAUUCGCAAGAACACCAGUGGCGAAGGCGGCUCACUGGUCCGGUACUGACGCUGAGGUGCGAAAGCGUGGGGAGCAAACAG
rnacentral:rRNA from 1 species